GAAAGAUGAAAAGAACUUUGAAAAGAGAGUUAAAUAGUACGUGAAAUUGUUGAAAGGGAAACGAUUGAAGCCAGUCGUACCUAUGGGUAAUCAGCCUUUUGGGUGUGAUUUUGUGGAGCGUGAGGAGUUAAACGCCUUCAUGCCUGCAUAUUCGUGCACUUUGGGUGUACUUGCCCGUAUGGUUGGUUAACAUCAAUUUUGGUGGUCAUAAAAUGACUGGAGGAAUGUAGCUUCGAUCUUGUAUUGAAGUGUUAUA
rnacentral:rRNA from 1 species